rnacentral:lncRNA from 1 species
UAAAGCAACGAACUGAUGAGAAUAGUAGACUAGAAAAUAGAACACAAGUGAUAAGAUAAUUCAGUUAAAAUGCUAGCUGCUCAAGUGAAUUCGAUAAUGUUAGAGAAAGAGAGAAAGAGAAAAUGAAUAAGUACGGAAAAGGAGUCAUAGUGAUUUGCUAAAGGAACGAAGAGGUGCAAAGCUUUCUGCCGGAAGACGAUUAUCUUGCUUCCGGGGACCGGAAGUUAGAGUCUUCUGUCAUCUCCAAGACAUAAGAAGCUACGUAACCAUCACGUUUCUCCUAUUAUUUGUUCUUACUUUCUACUAAAUCGAGUAUUAAAUACAAACAAUUUUUUAUCUUCUUUA